UAUGUGAUCGUCUCUCGCAUAUCAAUAAGCGGAGGAAAAGAAACUAACAAGGAUUCCCCUAGUAACGGCGAGUGAAGCGGGAAGAGCUCAAAUUUGAAAUCUUAAAGGGUUUCCCUUUACGAAUUGUAGUUUAAAGAAGUGUUUUCUGUUGAGGUUUUGGUAAAAGUUCUCUGGAAUAGGACAUCAUAGAGGGUGAGAAUCCCGUAUUUGACCUUUACUUUCAACUUUGUGAUACACUUUCAAAGAGUCGGAUUGUUUGGGAAUGCAGUCCAAAAUGGGUGGUAAAUUUCAUCUAAAGCUAAAUAUUGGCGAGAGACCGAUAGCGAACAAGUACCGUGAGGGAAAGAUGAAAAGAACUUUGAAAAGAGAGUUAAACAGUACGUGAAAUUGUCAAAAGGGAAGCGUUUGACACCAGUGUUGUUUUUCUGAAAAUCAAUUAAAGAACUGCUUAUGCUAAGUUGUUUAGACUUUAUCAGCUAACUGUUUAGUUUUGAGCUUUUCUUUAAUGCACUUUUCAGUUAACAAGUCAACAUCAAUUUCUUUUGCUGUAAAAAAGCUUGAGGGAAGGUGGCUUGAGAUUCGUCUUAAGUGUUUAUAGCCUCUUGCCUAUGCAGUCGGAGAGAUUGAGGUCUGCAGCGUAGAUCCUUCGGGGCUAAAUGCAUUUGUGCUAAGUUAUAGCAUUUUAUAGACAACUUGUUGACUAUGAUUUGUCUUGUAGCUUACUCGCUUAUGUUAUUUUACCUACGCUUAGGAUGUUGAAGUCAUCGUAUCGCGC
rnacentral:rRNA from 1 species